CCCUUAGAUGUUCUGGGCAGCACGCGCGCUACAAUGGUCUUCGCAAACGGAUGCAUUCUCGAAGGAGAAUGCCAAUCUUGGAAUCUAUGCCUUGGUCGGGACAGUUGCUUGCAAUUUUUCGACUCGAACCAGGAAUUCCUUGUAAUCGUGAUUCAUCACAUCACGAUGAAUACGUCCCUGCCCUUUGUACACACCGCCCGUCGCUCCUACCGAUCGAAGAGUUAGGUGAAUUGUUUUGAUCGAUAAGAUUUGACUAUGGUCAACUCUCGUUGUGAAAUUCUGUGAAUCUGUCUGUUUAGAGGAAGGAAAAGUCGUAACA
rnacentral:rRNA from 1 species